CUUCGAACCAGACUAGACACCCAAUAUGAUCAACAAGUGCAUAAGCCAGGCAUGAACAAUUAUUUAGGCACUGUAUCUUGCAGUCAUUGAACUUGUCUUCAAGAUCCAAAGAUGGAAUAUACUGAUGAUAAUCUGAACAAUUCGGUUUUCCUUACACACCCACUGGUCCAGUCUCCUUUGCUCCAUUCCGGCCUGGUGUGACUUUGGUACAAACCCUUUCAAACACUUGCAGAUUGGAGAUUCAGAAAUGCUGCAAAUCCCAUAAGGCCCACAUGUUCCAUAGAUGUCACAUCGAUUCUUUGGUGCCUCGCAGAUGAGUGACCAGUUCCCACCAUUUUCUGAAUACAUAAGCUUCACCUUUCCCUGUGAAGAGAGUUCUAUAUAUCCGAGAGUUUUCUCAGUAACAUUCAAACUUGGUGAGCUGCUGUAACAUUGUUUUCAACCAUGGACACAACCAAUGAUUUAAAAGGCGCGCCUGAGGCUAGCUUUGUGGCGUAAAAGGCGUGAGGUGUUGAGAAAAUUGAGUGUGUUUUGCUGCCGAGGCGACCAAACGCCAAAGGCGUUGAUCAAGGCGUGUCGCAAGGCGUCGAAAGCGAACGCCCAUAAACUUCCUUUUUUAUUUUUUUAUUUUUUUUUUAACACCAAAACGACAUUGAUUUGUUCUAUUUUCGUUGAAUUUGGCAUAUUCACUCUGCCUUGAAAUGUGUUUCCCUGUUUGUUUAUCAAAACUAUAUAUAUU